UACGUAGGGGGCAAGCGUUGUCCGGAAUCAUUGGGCGUAAAGCGCGUGUAGGCGGCCCGGUAAGUCCGCUGUGAAAGUCGGGGGCUCAACCCUCGAAUGCCGGUGGAUACUGUCGGGCUAGAGUGCGGAAGAGGCGAGUGGAAUUCCUGGUGUAGCGGUGAAAUGCGCAGAUAUCGUAAGGAAGACCAGUGGCGAAGGCGGGUCUCUGGACAGUUCCUGACGCUGAGGCACGAAGGCCAGGGGAGCAAACGGG
rnacentral:rRNA from 1 species